GUGGAUUAGAUACCCGGGUAGUCCACGCCCUAAACCAUGUCAACUAGUUGUCGGGAGAGCAAUCACUCGGUAACGCAGCUAACGCGUGAAGUUGACCGCCUGGGGAGUACGGUCGCAAGAUUAAAACUCAAAGGAAUUGACGGGGACCCGCACAAGCGGUGGAUUAUGUGGAUUAAUUCGAUGCAACGCGAAAAACCUUACCUACCCUUGACAUGUACCGAACCCCGAUGAGAGUCGGGGGUGCCCGAAAGGGAGCGGUAACACAGGUGCUGCACGGUUGUCGUCAGCU
rnacentral:rRNA from 1 species